UAUAGCACUGACUACAUAAUGGGAUUUGGAGUCCUGAGAAAUUACUACAGCCAGUGAUGUGCUGGAGCUAAACGCUACUCUUACAAGAGCCAGUGGAAUCAUCAGGCAAAGCUAGUAACAUCAGAGGUGUUCACUGAAUAGCUGAGCUGA